CUUCGUUGUUUUUUCUUCGUAGUCCCCCAAACUCCAACAGAGAAACUUCGUUGUUUCUUCUCCUUCGUGGUUUGAUCUAGAGAGGAGAUGAUGAAAAUUGAGAGAAAAGGAUCAUGUAAUGAUUGUUGGUGGUGGUAUUGAUUGAAGGAAUCGAUUCAAGCUACGGGAAAGGAUAAAUCAGGUUGAUAAGCUUAAAAAGAAGUUAAGACAUGAAGAAAGUGUGCAUAGAGCUUUGGAGAGAGCUUUCACUAGACCUCUGGGAGCUUUACCUCGUUUGCCUCCUUAUCUCCCUCAAAAUGUCAGCAGCCCAACAUUCUCGAGCAGCCAUCAAUGCUUUCCUAAGGGGCGUCAUUACUCUGCCCAAGAACUCUCGCGGAAGGCACAUCCAUAGUGGAUGACUGCUGAAAGUUUGAAUUUUAAGGCAGCCCAAGAAAUUUGAAGUAUAAUGAAUCACAAAAAUGAUGUAUGGAAGCUAGACCUGCAUGGUUUGCAUGCAUCUGAAGUUGUUCACGCCUUGAAAGAGCGUCUUUGGAGGAUUGAGACUCAGUUCCCACUUACUGUGCAUCCCAAUAAAGUUGUCAAACCAAUUGAUUCCAGCAGUUGCCUUAGCGUGGCCGGACAGACAGAAAAAGACGAGGGAAUGACAUCACAGAGACCAGGGGUUUUACAAGUUAUAACAGUCUGUAGUAACUGGUGGGUGACUUGCACGUGGAUGAACAUUGGUGAUGAAGUUCAGUUCUGCGGCCAGGGAUGGAUAUGAGAUGGUAUGGGGAUAUGAUCUCUUCCGAAGGAGCUUAGGAUUUUGGAUUUGUAAGAAGUCUGGCUGUGAACUUAUUACAUGUGAUUGGUGACCCAGUUAAUCUGUUGAACUCUAUGGAUGGAGAUGAGGAUAUUAUAUAUUGGAUUUAUGGUAAAGGUGAAGGUUUCUCAGUUGCAAAUGCUUAUUCUGUUAUGGAAAUGGACGGUUUUCUUUCUUUCCCUGACAAACAGAUUUGGAAUCCUAAAAUUCCUUUGAAGGUGGCUUUCCUAGUCUGGACUUUGUGUUAUAAUGGGGCUGCUACUAUGGAUUAUUUGUACAAUGCAUGACUAGUUUAAGAUCCAGCUUGUCUUCUCUGUAAUCACCAUACAGAAACACAUUCUCAUCUUUUUCUUCAUUGUACAACUACAAUGGGUGUUUGGGACUAUUUCUUAAAAAGUUUUGGAGUUAAUUGGGUGCACUCAGGUGAUGGGAAAAGAACAAUUUGGGAGUAGGGUAACAGGAAAAUCAAGAAGUUGGUGAAGAGGCUAUGAGGUUAUUUACCCUUUUCUAUUUGGUAGUGUGUGUGGAGUGAGAGAAACAAUAGGCUUUACAAUAAUUUGGUCAGAAACACUAAGCAGCUAAUUAUUGAAGUUAAAUGUCUGUUGUUCAAUUGGACAAUCAAUACCAAUAUUUUUGUUGGUUUCAGUUUAUCGACUCUAAUCUGUAAUUGGGAUGUUGUGAUACACACAUCUUUGUAAUUCUUGUCUUUGUCACUUUUCGAGUGACAAAGAUUUUCUUAUAAAAUUUGUUUUUUUCAGUUAAAAAAAAAUAAAACUCGUUUGUUUUCUAAAAUUAUCUUUUUCAGGCCGGUAAAACUAGAUUGGCAUAUUGUACCAAAGUAUCGGCUAUGUUGUUUGCCACUUUCUCCCAAAUACUAAAACAUUUAAGAAAUGACAAUCUCAUAUAACACUACAAGUUAUUCAGCUGACAGUUCCCGUGGCACCAUUAAUUGCCUCAAUCAUAUACAACAAACUAUGACAAAUUGUUUAUGUGUAUCCUCCAAAGAAUAACCGCAUGAUUCGGUAAUGAAAGAUAAACAGAUUGUAAAAAUUGAGGUUAAGAUGUACUGCAAAGUUCUUCCAAGUUCCCCCUCUCCUCUGCAACUGAGGCAAAAUAUCCACCUUUUUCAAUGCUGCUUUACAGUUUAAGCAGUUGCUUUUACACACCUUUAAUUUAAUAGAGAAGGACAAAGUAUGUUGACUGCAUUUAUAUUUAUCAAUUAUUAGUCAUCUCCAAUUUUUGUUUCUUAUACAAAGUUCACAUAAAAAUGGAGUAAAAGGAAGACGCGACUAGAAUUUAAGUCUCCAAUCCAAAUAACCCAGUAGAUGAAUCGCCUCAAUUUCCAUCUGCACUGCAACAACAUAUGUUGCACUCUCAGCAAUAUACUGCAAGGCGUGCAGUGGCUAAUGGAGUACAGAUAACUCUAUUGAAGACAACAAUGUUGGUGAACUGGUUACCAACGGGAACACUACUAACAUUUGAAAUGAUUAU